rnacentral:lncRNA from 1 species
AACUCUGAUCUCACCUACUCCUAACUUAUAUGAUUAACAGAGUUAGUAAAAUUAUCAAGAGUAGCUAGAAAGAAGAAACUUACAUAUGAAAGACAAUUUCAACACCAAUGCCUGCAGUGAUUCUCCGGAUACGAAUAGUAGUGUGAAUACCAGUUUUGCCUAGACAUCACUAUACCUUUGUACAUAGAUAGCCUACGUCUG